UACGGGGGGAGCAAGCGUUGUUCGGAUUUACUGGGCGUAAAGAGCGCGCAGGCGGUCGUACAAGUCGCGUGUGAAAGCCCCCGGCUCAACUGGGGAGGGUCAUUCGAUACUGAUCGACUCGAAGGCAGGAGAGGGUAGUGGAAUUCCCGGUGUAGUGGUGAAAUGCGUAGAUAUCGGGAGGAACACCAGUGGCGAAGGCGACUACCUGGCCUGUUCUUGACGCUGAGGCGCGAAAGCUAGGGGAGCAAACGGGG
rnacentral:rRNA from 1 species